GUACAAUGGUAUUUGGUUUAAUAAUGCUAAUGGAAAUCUGUAUGGCGCUGGUAAUGGUAACAUUGACACUGGGUGUGCCAGUUGUAGCAUGUUCAGGCUCAUAAUUGUCUCCAUUGGAUGAGGCAAUUCUAAAGCAGAUAAAGAUAGACUUGGAGGAGAUGAUGAAGAUGCAGGAGGCAAGUGCACACUAGCUGUCAUAGAAAAUUCUGGGCUUCUAUAGGUACUCUCCACAUUCUCUUCUAAUUCCUCUG